GGGCGCUGGCGCUUCCGCUUCCUGGGCCGGCCUCCGGUCGGCGGGGUGCAGGUGCGCCGGGCUCGGGAGGCGCUCCUGCCGCGCAGGGUACGGACAGCGGGUCGUUUUCAGGAGCCAGAGAGCCGCUGCGACGUGGUGUUGGGCACAGUGACCGGCCCAGGCUGUGGACCGGGGCUGGCUGCCGGGGUGAUGGCGCUGGUGGGCGGGAGGCAGGGGCACCCCGAACGGCGCAGCGCCUCUCCCCUCACUGCGGGGCGCCGACGCCUCCGUUCUUUCCCCUAGCCUCUGGGAAACCGACGGGGUACGAACAAUAACGGAUUCAUCCCACCGAGGGUCAGGGCAGACCUUUGGGGAGCGCCCUUGCAGGGUUCCUGAGAGUCCCGGCUCCGGGCCCUGCCUGCAAGCUCCGCCCCCUGGGGGAGGCUGAGGCUGGGGCCGGGGAGGGGUUUCUGACUGGGAGUCACUGGGGGUUUCGGUUCCAGCCCAGGUCCACACCUGGGGACAGGCUGUGCUCCCAGGAGCACGGUAGGGUCUGGGCAUCAGCGUCUGCGGGGGUAUUUCUGCCAGGGGCAGGUGAGGCAGGGCCCCCGGCUGCUUCAGGACUUCAUCCUGGGGCCUGAUGGAAUGACCGGCCUCCAUUCUCCGGCAGGCGGGAAUCCAACACUGACACAGAUGCUAAAGGAAUCCCCACCCCUGUGAGAGUUUGGAAGUCUUGCCCCAAGCCUCAGCUGGCCCUUCUUUCCUUGGAUGCCUCAUUUCCAUUUUCAUUCAUAACAAAUGAUCUGAAGUUCACCACGUGCCAGACAAGCUUGAGUUACCAGUGACGGGGAUGCACGUGUGCCGACAUCUACCUGGUCUCUGCCCUGCCACAGUCUGUCCCGGCCACUCUACUCAGUGCUAGAAAGGUCCAUGGAGCUCAAAAAGCUUAAAGUGGGUGGGGGGAGGAUUACCUUGUCCAGAGAUAGUGGGCUUCCCUGGGAAGAUGGGGUUAUUAAUAUGACCCAGGGAGAAGGAGUUGCCUCAGCAAAGGUCACCAGCUGGAUCAGCAUAUGCAAAUGCCGCUGUGGAAGGAGUCCCCAGGCAGGCCUGGCUACAGCUCAGUGAGAGAAGGGGCAGGGGGCAGACAGGAGCAGAGCAGAGCAGUGGGACCUUGCACACCUUGUCAGGAAUUGGGGUUUUUACCCUCAGAGCUGUGGGGAACAUCCAGAACAUGUCAGGGCGCCAUGGGAUUGAGACAGUCAUACCUACAUUUUGAAAUGAUUCCCGACAGCAGGCAGGGAUGAGGGACUGGAGAGAGAGAAAGAGAGGAAGCAGGGGAGGAGGCAGCAGCUGUUGUAGGUGAAGGAGUCCAGAAUACAUCACUGUAGCCUGGAAAUCAUUUUGGGCCGGAAGCAUUUGAAAAUGGGCUUUUCCUUGAACUGCCUUUUCUGCCUAAAAGCAAGGCCUCCCCAAAUAACUCAAUUGUCCUAAAAUCUGCUCCAGAUUGGCUUUUAUCACCUGAUAAAUCCAUUGUCACAAAAGCAUCAAUAAUAUCUCAUCUAGGGCAGCCCGGGUGGCUCAGAGGUUUAGCACCACCUUCGGCCUAGGGUGUGAUCCUGGAGACCCUGGAUCCAGUCCCAUGUCGGGCUCCCUGCGUGGAGCCUGCUUCUCUCUCUGCCUGUGUCUCUGCCUCUCUCUCAGUCUGUGUCUCUCAUAAAUAAAUAAAUAAAUCUUUAAAAAAGUAAUAAUAAUAUCUCUCAUCUAUUCUGAGGGCCCAUUUAUCUUUUCUAAAAGUCAUUUGUUGGGCAGCCCAGGUGGCGCAGCGGUUUAGUGCCACCUGCAGCCCGGGGUGUGAUGCUGGAGACCCGGGAUCGAGUCCCACAUCAGGUUCCCUGCAUGGAGCCUGCUUCUCCCUCUGCCUGUGUCUCUGUCUCUGCCUGUCUCUCUCUCUCUCUCUUCUCUCUAUGAAUAAAUAAAUAAAUAAUCUUUCAAAAAAGUCAUUUGUCUUCCUUGGAAGUACCUUCUCCUCUGCUUCCCCUGGUAAGUUGGUAUAUAAGCCCCCAAAUUCUAACUGCCUAGUACUUGAAUAAAAAUCUGUCUUUUCUCUU